GUCGAGCGAACGGACGAGCAAGCUUGCUUCUCUGAUGUUAGCGGCGGACGGGUGAGUAACACGUGGAUAACCCUACCUAUAAGACCUGGGACUAACUUCGGGAAACCGGAGCUAAUACCGGAUAAUAUUUUGAACCGCAUGGUUCAAAAGUGAAAGACGGUCUUGCUGUCACUUAUAGAUGGAUCCGCGCUGCAUUAGCUAGUUGGUAAGGUAACGGCUUACCAAGGCAACGAUGCAUAGCCGACCUGAGAGGGUGAUCGGCCACACUGGAACUGAGACACGGUCCAGACUCCUACGGGAGGCAGCAGUAGGGAAUCUUCCGCAAUGGGCGAAAGCCUGACGGAGCAACGCCGCGUGAGUGAUGAAGGUCUUCGGAUCGUAAAACUCUGUUAUUAGGGAAGAACAUAUGUGUAAGUAACUGUGCACAUCUUGACGGUACCUAAUCAGAAAGCCACGGCUAACUACGUGCCAGCAGCCGCGGUAAUACGUAGGUGGCAAGCGUUAUCCGGAAUUAUUGGGCGUAAAGCGCGCGUAGGCGGUUUUUUAAGUCUGAUGUGAAAGCCCACGGCUCAACCGUGGAGGGUCAUUGGAAACUGGAAAACUUGAGUGCAGAAGAGGAAAGUGGAAUUCCAUGUGUAGCGGUGAAAUGCGCAGAGAUAUGGAGGAACACCAGUGGCGAAGGCGACUUUCUGGUCUGUAACUGACGCUGAUGUGCGAAAGCGUGGGGAUCAAACAGGAUUAGAUACCCAGGUAGUCCACGCCGUAAACGAUGAGUGCUAAGUGUUAGGGGUUUCCGCCCCUUAGUGCUGCAGUUACGCAUUAAGCACUCCGCCUGGAAGAGUACGGCCGCAAG
rnacentral:rRNA from 1 species